UGACCUCGGAUCAGGUAGGGAUACCCGCUGAACUUAAGCAUAUCAAUAAGCGGAGGAAAAGAAACCAACAGGGAUUGCCCCAGUAACGGCGAGUGAAGCGGCAAGAGCUCAAAUUUGAAAGCUGGCUCCUUCGGGGUCCGCAUUGUAAUUUGUAGAGGAUGCUUCGGGAGCGGUCCCCAUCUAAGUGCCCUGGAACGGGACGUCAUAGAGGGUGAGAAUCCCGUAUGGGAUGGGGUGUCCGCGCCCGUGUGAAGCUCCUUCGACGAGUCGAGUUGUUUGGGGAAUGCC
rnacentral:rRNA from 1 species